GACAGAAAAAACAAGUCACGUUAAUUAUGUGAUUUUUUUUCCUGGUGUGUCAACAGAAAUAGACGUUUCCGAGUCAGCCUUCCUCUUCUGUACCGACACGAGACGAGGAGCAGUGAUGGACGAAGGUCGAUAUCUAAACUGUGAACUGUGAGAUUCACAGACAGCUGCUGUGGAUUAAACCACACUGACACCAACCGAACCACAAAACCCGUCAAUCCGGUUUCUUAAAGGGGAACGUGCCGUGUUUAAUCAUGAAUAAAACAUCAGACAGGAAAGCAGCAACAACACGUGAAUAUCAAUUUGAAGAUCUAAAGGAAAUUUAUUGCAAAAUAUUUUGAUAACUGGUUUCAAGUAAAAAGUUUCCAGCUGCUUCAAUGUGAGGAUUUACUGAUUUCCUUCUGUUUUGUUUGACUUUACAUCGACUUUUUCUGAGUUUUGAACUGUUGAUUGAUCGAAUGAUGACUUGAUUUAACUGAAUACUGUCUUCAUACAAACAAGCUGCACAGAAUAUUGGAUCAGAAUCUAAUUAAAGGGCAACAUUUCUACAUUUUCCUACAGUUUGAUUGAUUUAGUUUCAAGAAUUUUAUAAAUCUAAUUUAUAAAAUGUAUUUCUAAGUCUGUGAACAAAGAGUCACAUUAGUUUGUAACGCUUAAACAUUUUACUUUAUUUUCCUUCUUUCAGUUCUUAAUCGUUACUUUCAGUCACUGGUCUUAAUUAUUCUUGUUGUUCUCAAUUUUGACACAAUCUGUUCGACUGUUUGUGUUUAUGAUGUUCUGGAGUUUUUGUUUAAGCAUUUUCUCCUUCAAACCCUGACAAAAGACAAGUUCUAUUAAUAAAUAAUUAACAAGCAGUAAGAAGUUAUUCACUAUAGAUCUGAUAUUAUUGGCCGACCAGGUUUAUUGGUAUUAACAUACAGUUUGGUCGAUACGACACUUUAGAGAAAACGUGUCUGUAUCAGUGCACUAAUGUGGUUUACUGUUAAAAUGUCAAAUAUCCUGCUACCAUUACAUACAUAUGUGUGUAGUUCAUGUGUGUAACAUCAAAUCAGCAUCAGCCCCCAAAAACAGCAUCAGUCAGCUGUAAUACAUCAGUUUCACUUUAACAUAAAUUACAAUCACAUUAAACCAAUUAAAUUAAAUUAAAUGAAGAAAUUAAAUUUUCUGAUUAAACACAAGUAAUCUAAAAAGCCCUCCACACAGUGUUUCUUAAUAAAAAUAACCUUCAGCUGCAGUCUAAACACUUUAGGAAACUGGAAGAGGCACAUCCUCUUUUUCACAGGAAGCAGAGGGGGUUGAUGGGUAAUGUAGUCUGAACACUUGACAGCAACAAUAACACUGAGUUGGAAUGAGGUCAGUCAUCUGUCACAGUCGUGUUUGUUUUGGACUUUUUAAUGUUUAAAAAGGUGCCACAGACUUAAAGAGCUCGUUACUCUUCGUCAGCUGUGAGUGUUCAGACGCCUCCAUUAAAGUCUGAACAACAAGUUGAUAACAUCAGCCGGCCUCAGCAGGAAGUUAGGUUGGAUUAUGUAUUUACACUGGAACAACUUGUCAGUUACAGUUGAAAACAGUUGAUGUGUUUUGGUUUAAAAUCCAUCAAUAUGAAGAGAUUUUAACAUCCCGUGUCUCAUAUUUUACCAGAAAUACAUUUAUUGUGUUUUUGGCAGCUGGUCAAACAAAAUGUAUUCAUGUAAAAGCCUCAGAGAGGAUGUAAACCAGCCGUUGGGCCUCCAACUGACACAACUUCAUCACCCUGCUGACGCCCCGCAGGCCUCCAGCUCCUGACAGGUGGAUUCAUGUAGAAAACACGAUGGCCAGGUGUACAAACUACCUGAUUACAGCUGUGUAAUCCAGCUGUGUAACUGUAACUAAACGGAGAAAACGA